CGGCAACAGCUCAAAUUUGAAAUCUGGCCCUUGUGGUCCGAGUUGUAAUUUGUAGAGGAUGCUUUUGGUGCGGUGCCUUCCGAGUUCCCUGGAACGGGACGCCAUAGAGGGUGAGAGCCCCGUCUGGUUGGACACCAAGCCUCUGUAAAGCUCCUUCGACGAGUCGAGUAGUUUGGGAAUGCUGCUCUAAAUGGGAGGUAUAUGUCUUCUAAAGCUAAAUAUUGGCCAGAGACCGAUAGCGCACAAGUAGAGUGAUCGAAAGAUGAAAAGCACUUUGAAAAGAGGGUUAAAUAGUACGUGAAAUUGUUGAAAGGGAAGCGUUUGUGACCAGACUUGGGCUUGGUUAAUCAUCCGGCGUUCUCGCCGGUGCACUUUGCCAGCCCAGGCCAGCAUCAGUUCGUCGCGGGGGAUAAAGGUAGCGGGAAUGUGGCUCCUCGGAGUGUUAUAGCCCGUUGCGUAAUACCCUGUGGUGGACUGAGGUUCGCGCAUCUGCAAGGAUGCUGGCGUAAUGGUCAUCAACGACCCGUCUUGAAACACGGACCAAGGAGUCGUCUUCGUAUGCGAGUGUUCGGGUGUCAAACCCCUACGCGUAAUGAAAGUGAACGCAGGUGAGAGCUUCGGCGCAUCAUCGACCGAUCCUGAUGUUCUCGGAUGGAUUUGAGUAAGAGCAUACGGGGCCGGACCCGAAAGAAGGUGAACUAUGCCUGUAUAGGGUGAAGCCAGAGGAAACUCUGGUGGAGGCUCGCAGCGGUUCUGACGUGCAAAUCGAUCGUCAAAUAUGGGCAUGGGGGCGAA
rnacentral:rRNA from 1 species